rnacentral:rRNA from 1 species
UACGAAGGGGGCUAGCGUUGCUCGGAAUGACUGGGCGUAAAGGGCGCGUAGGCGGCCCUGGCAGUCGGGCGUGAAAUCCCCGGGCUCAACCUGGGGGCUGCGCCCGAGACGCUGGGGCUUGAGUGGGGGAGAGGGCCGUGGAAUUCCCAGUGUAGAGGUGAAAUUCGUAGAUAUUGGGAAGAACACCAGUGGCGAAGGCGGCUCACUGGACCGGCAUUGACGCUGAGGUGCGAAAGCGUGGGGAGCAAACAGG